rnacentral:tRNA from 1 species
AGAAUAGUAUUUAAAAUAAAUAAAAUCUAAAUUGCAAUUAGAAAUUGUUAACAACCUAUUCU